rfam:Oryza rufipogon genomic scaffold, chr03
AAUAAGCACAACCACAAAUUUCCGUGUCCAACUCGUCUUAUUUGGAAUUUUUUUAUAAUUAGUAUUUUUAUUGUUAUUAGAUUAUACAAUAUGAAUAGUACGUAUUUUAUGCAUGAUUUAUGUUUUUUUAUUUUUUUAAAAAAGUUUAAAUAAAACGAACUAUUAAAGUUGGACACGGAAACUUAUGGUUGUAAUUAUU